rnacentral:rRNA from 1 species
CAAUAGCGUAUAUUAAAGUUGUUGCGGUUAAAAAGCUCGUAGUUGGAUUUCUGCCGAGGACGACCGGUCCGCCCUCUGGGUGAGUAUCUGGCUCGGCCUGGGCAUCUUCUUGGAGAACGUAGCUGCACUUGACUGUGUGGUGCGGUAUCCAGGACUUUUACUUUGAGGAAAUUAGAGUGUUUCAAGCAGGCUUACGCCUUGAAUACAUUAGCAUGGAAUAAUAAGAUAGGACCUCGGUUCUAUUUUGUUGGUUUCUAGAGCUGAGGUAAUGAUUAAUAGGGAUAGUUGGGGGCAUUCGUAUUUAACUGCCAGAGGUGAAAUUCUUGGAUUUGUUAAAGACGGACUACUGCGAAAGCAUUUGCCAAGGAUGUUUUCAUUG